GUAGCCUUCACAGUAUGGUCUUCUACCAAACCUUUUUUUCUUUUCUAGGUUACCGUCACAUAAGGAUUCAUCUCAAGGGGUCUCCUAUUGAUGAUCUCAGCUCUUGCUCUCCACUUAUUCCCCUUUUCAGAUUUCUUUCAUCCUCCUAUGAUACACGGGUUUUCUGAUCAUGGUACCCUGGGAAGAUCAGCCUCACUGGGAUUCAAGUUCGUCAGCUGAAAAAGAGGGGGAGACAUUAAAUAAUCUGUAAGGUUUCUUCUAUUACAAAUUGCCAUGAUUUCUUCUUUACAACUUAUUUCUCAUUUAGGAAGAAAAUGGGUAAAACGCAAGGUAUAAAAUAUGAAUUGCAUUGUAUAGUAGGAAAUCAUGAACUUUGUCUUGG
rnacentral:lncRNA from 1 species